AAUAGAUUUAAGAAUGGUCAAAGCAGAGUUAGAAGAAUCCGGCCACAGAUUAUGUUUAGCUUGGCUGGAUUCCAGGCGGAAGGUGAAAAUUCGUAGAAUAAAAUGGAGCAUGCAAUCAAGCCGAACUGAAAGACACAACGCGUCCGCAGAUUAUGCCCGGAUCCGUAUGCAACAUGCGUAUCUUGCACUUGGGCAUAUGCAACUUGCGUAUCUUGCACUUUCUUUCAUCCAUCUUCAUGGAUAUGAAGGGAUGAUUUUGGCAGAAGAUUGCAGAUAAGAUGCAAAAGUAGAAUCAAUGGUAAUCUAACCCAUUAGGGUUAGAGAAGCUCCAACAAUUACAAGAAUGGAAGAAGUGUAUUUAGCAAACAAGUUUUUCUCUCAAUACUAGGUGGAGAGUGCCCGCGCAUCGCGCGAGUGUUUGGUACCUGUUGUUAGAAAGAAUAUUUUAUUGGACAAAUAAUAGUACAUUCUGUAAAGAAAUAGUCAUCAAAUAUGACAAAUCUAAUAAUAGUACAUUCUAAUUGCAACA
rnacentral:lncRNA from 1 species